CCUACGGGCGGCAGCAGUAGGGAAUAUUGCUCAAUGGGGGAAACCCUGAAGCAGCAACGCCGCGUGGAGGAUGAAGGUUUUCGGAUUGUAAACUCCUUUUGUUAGAGAAGAUAAUGACGGUAUCUAACGAAUAAGCACCGGCUAACUCCGUGCCAGCAGCCGCGGUAAUCAGGGGGGUGCAAGCGUUACUCGGAAGCACUGGGCGUAAAGAGCGCGUAGGCGGGGUAGCAAGUCAGAUGUGAAAUACUAGGGCAUAACCAUAGAACUGCAUUUGAAACUGUUAUUCUAGAGUAUGGGAGAGGUAGGUGGAAGUCUUGGUGUAGGGGUGAAAUGCGUAGAGAGCAAGAGGAAUACUCAGUGCGAAGGCGACAUGCUAGAACAUAACUGACGCUGAUGCGCGAAAGCGUGGGGAGCAAACAGGAUUAGAUACCCGGGUAGUC
rnacentral:rRNA from 1 species